rnacentral:rRNA from 1 species
CAGACAGCUCAGUAACACGUGGCUAACCUGCCCUUAGGAUGGGAACAACCCCGGGAAACUGGGGCUAAUUCCCGAUAGGUGAAGAACUCUGGAAUGAGUCUUUGCCCAAAAGGUGUCGGAUCAUGCUUUCGGCAUCGCCUAAGGAUGGGGCCGCGACCGAUCAGGUUGUUGGUGAGGUAAUGGCCCACCAAGCCUAUAACCGGUGCGGGCCGUGAGAGCGGGAGCCCGGAGAUGGGCACUGAGACAAGGGCCCAGGUCCUACGGGGCGCAGCAGUCGCGAAACCUUUGCAAUACACGAAAGUGUGACAGGGUCAUCCCGAGUGCCGACCGCUGAGGUUGGCUUUUACCCAGUCUAGAAAGCUGGGGGAAUAAGGAGAGGGCAAGUCUGGUGUCAGCCGCCGCGGUAAUACCAGCUCUCCGAGUGGUGUGGACGUUUAUUGGGCCUAAAGCAUCCGUAGCUGGCUGAACAAGUCCCCUGUUAAACCCACCGAUUUAAUCGUUGGUCUGCGGGGGAUACUGUUCGGCUAGGGGACGGGAGAGGCAGACGGUAUUCCCGGGGUAGGGGUGAAAUCCUAUAAUCCCGAGAAGACCACCAGUGGCGAAGGCUGUCUGCUAGAACGCGCCCGACGGUGAGGGAUGAAAGCUGGGGGAGCGAACC